rnacentral:rRNA from 1 species
GGAGGUAGUGACAAUAAAUCACAAUGCGGAACUUUUAGUUUUGCAAUUGGAUUGAGAACAAUGUACAAAUGUUAUCGAUAAACAAUUGGAGGGCAAGUCUGGUGCCAGCAGCCGCGGUAAUUCCAGCUCCAAUAGCGUAUAUUAACGUUGUUGCAGUUAAAAAGCUCGUAGUUGAAAUGUGGGAUGAAGUAUAUAAUGAAUUACUAAUUCAAUUGUAUAUUGAUUCCCCUCUCCAAUUUAUUAUUAUGGGUAUUAAUUUAUUUGUAAUAAGAAUUGGUCAUUUACUGUGAGAAAAUUAGAGAGUUCAAAGCAGGCAUUUGCUUGAAUAGAUUAGCAUGGAAUAAUACUAAAAGGCUUUUAUGGUCGAUUUAAUUGGUUUGUUCAUAAAAGCAAGAUUAAAAGGAACAGUUGGGGGUAUUCAUAUUCAAUAGUUAGAGGUGAAAUUCUCGGAUUUAUGGAAGAUGAACAAGUGCGAAAGCAA